CUAGAUUGGUACCCAAACUUUUUUUUCCGUCCACUAUAUUGGUACCUGAGCCUAACGCCGUUAGUUUUUUGCUGACAUGGCAAUACUGGCCAAUCGUAUGCCAUCACGUGACGUUCUCUUGUACCUUUUUUUAUUUUUCAUUUCCCUUCUUUUCUUUUUUUUCUUCUUUUUAUUUUUAUUUUCCCUACCUCUAUCUUCUUCACUCUUCUUCAUCUUUCUUGGUUUUUUUCUACAAAAAAUCUUUGUUUUCAAUUUUUUCUGCCUCUUUCCCGAUAACUAAACAUUUUUUUUCUUUUUCCUAAUGAAAAUGUCAUUAGGGCACAAAAUUUCGAGGAAUCCGGCCGCUUUCCUUUAUUCUCUCAUGAGCAAAAGAGAAAAGCUUCAAGACGAGCUUCACAAUAUCGAAAAGUAGGUAAUAGUUUUCCUGCUUUCCUAUGGAAAAUUUUGCUCUUUCUUUUCCCUCUUUUAUGUGUAUAUAUAUUGGUAAAGAAGCUACAAAUGCGAUGAAUUUUACAAUUAAAAUUAAAUUUUGAGUUAAAAACUAAUUAUUUACAAGAUUCGAGCCAUUUCAGGCAUGUUUUGAAAGGAUUUGAAGGGUUUUUUUCUUCAUCCAAGAACACAACAAAGUAAUUAUUAUUUUUUAUUAACCCAUAUUUUAUUAACUGUUGGUAAUUUUAUAUAUGAAUUUAUUUUGAAUCAUUUAAAAGCCAAGAAAAAAACCCAAGAAUCUGGCGUCGGUUCUUCAUUGUAGUUGGCCCUGAAAUUGGGAGAUGAAGAAGAAUGAAUAAGAAAGAUGAAGAAGACAGAGGUAGGGAAAAGAACAAGAAAAAAACGACAGAGGUAGCGGGUGUCGAUUCAUCUAAUCCACCCUUGAUCACUUUUAGAUCAGACUUUGAAUCCCAAUCAAUCUUUACCACUUGAUUCUUUCUUAACGUUUUUGAUUACUCUGUUUUUUUUUUUGGUUUUUCUAGGUCAUAUUUUGUUGAGAUUUUUGCUUUUGCCUUGUGGGUUUUAUUUGUUUGUUUGAACAAACAAAUUAAAUGGGAAAACUAAAGAAAGAAAAGUCUGCCAAGUUGAUAAGCAUAGCAAAUAUAGAGAAAGACGUACCCAAGCUGAACAACAGUGAAGCUCCUACUGAAUGUAGCAGACGACUGUGAAUGGUGAACAGUAGCGAAUGACAGUGAUAUUUUACGGUUUUAAGAAAUUUGUGUCAUCCGUCAAGGAUGUUUUGGGUGAAUGGGUAGGGAAAAUGAAAAAAGAAAAGAAAAAGAGUUACAAGAGGACACCAUGUGGCAGCGUGUGAUUGGCUAGUGUUGUUGUUGGAAAUUAUAGAUUGCAAAUUCAUUAUUCAUGAACACUUAUUAAAUUAGAAAGUGAUGAUUUAUUCAUCCAAUGGAUAAAUUUAAAUUCCAUGGGACAUGUUUCUUCUAAGAAGAAUGUCCAACACGAAGGGUUGUGGCUCCUCAAUAGUGUCCAUUUAGUGCAUAUAAAUAGAGGGACUAUGGUGCUCACAAUAAUCAUUACAAUCAAUCCAAUUUUAGAAAUUAGAGUAGGAGUUAGGGAAUUCCUUGAAUUUGCUAAUCAAAGGAAAUAAAAAACCUUAGUUGUAUCCUGAGAGGACUUUUGUCUUAACCCUCUAGCAACUUUGUUUGGGGGCAAAUUGUUCUCUUUGGAAAGCGUCACCCAUGCCUUGAAGUCUACUGUUUAAUUAAAUAUCGUUUUCAUAUCUAUCUUCUCUAUUCAAAUACCCCAACAAUCAAAGAGAAAAAUUUUGGAAAUGGCGACGGAGGUAACCAUUGCAUUCAAAAUGAUGAACCAAGAGUUUGUGAAACUUGACCGAUUUGCUGGCUCAAACUUCAAUCGCUGGAAGGAUAAGGUGUUGUUCCUUCUUACCGUCUUGAAUGGGGCAUAUGUUCUAAACCCAAACCUACAACUCAUGGAGGAUCCCAACCCCAAUGCAAACCCUGAGGAAAUUGCGAAAGUGGCCGAACUCAAGAAGAAGCGCGAGGAAGACAAUUUCACAUGUUGUGGGCACAUCCUCAACACUUAGUCCGAUCGAUUGUAUGAUUUCUACAUGUCAAUGCAAUCUCUGGUGGAAAUAUGAAAAGCUCUUGAAGAGAAAUACAACAUCGAGCAACAAGGUUGUGAUAAAUUUUUAAUGAUGAAGUAUUUCGAAUUCAAAAUGCUCGAUAAUAUCCCGAUCAUGGAUCAAGCCCAUGAACUACAAGUCCUUGUAAACAGGCUUUGUGACCUGAAAGUUGUUAUUCUGGAAUUGUUACAAGUCGGGGCUAUCAUCUCAAAGUUGCCCUCGUCUUGGAAAAGUUAUCGAAAGAAACUUUUGUAUUUGGCAGAGGACUUCACUCUGGAGAAAAUACUUAGGCAUUUACAUAUUAAAGAGGAAACUCGAAAGCAUGAUGAGGUGCAUCUUUCCCAAAGUUCUAAAGUGAACCACGUGAGCGAGUCCAAGAACUCUCGAAAUAGUAAGCAAAAGGCCGCAUUUGAAACCAAGUACAUGCAAGACAAGAAGAAAAAAAUCUCAGAAUUGUUACAACUGCAAUUAGAAAGGACACUAAAUUAAGAAUUGUAAACUUCUAAAAAAGAAGCAAGAUGCCAAAAAUUUCAAAGCCAAAAUGGUGGAGGACAUAGACUUAGUGGCCAUGGUUAUGGAAGGGAUCGAGAGUUUAGAGAUUGGUAUGAUUACCGAACUCAACAUAGCCAUGAAAAAUAAGUCCUAUAAUUGGUGGCUCGACACCAGAGCUACUUUUCAUAUGUGUAAUGACUGACAACAAUUAAAGAGUUAUGAACUAGUGGCAAACCAUGAAGUGAUUAUGGGUAACUAUUAAUUAGUUAAGGUGCUCGGUCAAUGGAUGAUGAAACACAACUUCACAUCCAGGAAGUUGAACUUGAUCAAUGUGUUGUAUAUUCCCGAUAUGAGAAAUAAUUUAGUGUCUACGAGUCUUCUGUGUAACAAGGGGUUCAAGGUUAUCUUAGAAUCUGAUAAGUUAGUGUUCCUUAAGUGUAACAACUCGUUUUCAGUGAAAUCAAAAUAGUAGUUUUGGGAUCACAAAUCUGACCUCAAAAAAUUUAUUUUAUUAUUAUUUUAAUGUCUACAACAUGUUAGUAGUGUCGUAUAAAAAUUUUAUGAAGAAAUUUUAUCGUUUGCAUGCUUAAUUUGAUAAAAAGGAUUAAAUUGCAAAAGGUGCAAAACUUGAGUUCUAUAAGCUAAAGGGAUUAAAUAGCUUUAAAAACUAAAAGGUUGGAGGGUUUAUGUUGUAAUUAAACCAUUCAUAAUAUGGGUGGACAAGUAUGGACACUUUUUAAGUGAUUUUCAAGGUUAUUAAUUAAGGUUAAUUUAGUAAUUUAAUAAAUACAAAAUAGUAAAAUGAUUAAAACAAAUAUAUCAUCUUUGUUCUUUCUUCUCUACCACCGAUUUUCAACCACAAGAAAAGCCAUAUUUGAAGCUUCAAGGUUCAACCAUAGCUCAUCUUUGCAUGUGAGUGAUACUUUGUCUUGUUUUUAAUGAUUUCUAUGUUUUUAGAGUCGUUGUAGCUUAAUCUAGCUAGCCCGGGGAUUAAUUUGAAAAAUUGUUAAAAGUUUAAGGUUUUACCAUUAAUGUAUAUUGGUUGGUUUUUAUGUUUGAUGGAUGAAAAUGAAUAUUUGAUGAUAGUUGAGCAACUUUUGUAAAGGAAUUUUUGAUGAAUUUGUCAUUUAAGUAUUUAAUUAAAAAAGGCAUAAUUGCAAAAAAACCCUCAAUGUUUGGGGCUUUUGGUUUUGUGCCCUUGACCUUUUUAUUUUUUUGUUUGACACCCUCAACAUUACGAUUUUUUAAGAAAUCAACCCAAUUUUAACGGUCAACGUGAGUUGACAAUUAAUCAAACUGUAGGUCAACAUAAUAGCCCAUGUGGCAUGCCACAAAAGCGCACGACGUCAUAGAUGAGGCCAUCUAUUUAACAAAAUUUUUGAUCUCAUUUUCUCUCUUGUCAAACACCACUUCUUUUCUUCAAAACACAUGGUUGCUGCCAUUUUUUUCUCUCAUUUUUUCUCUUGCCAAACACCAUUUUUCUUCUUCAAAACAUAUGGUUGGCUCAUUUCAUCUACAAGAAUCUCCAUUACAUAAGCACGCACCAAAAUCCACAAUCCAGGUCAAUCAAAAACUCAAAUUUCACUACAAAAACUAUCUCUACCAAAAUCAAAAGACUAACUCUAGAUUUAGGAAUUUGAGAAAGGGUUUGAAGGUUUUCAACUAAUCUAUCGAACAUAACACGAAACAACAACGAAAAAGGUGGAUCCCAUGGAAGAAUAAAAAAAAUGUACGAGCUUUCUAAACCUUUAAGAUUGGAUCUAAUUAGUGUUUCUUCUAGUAUUUAAAAAUUCAAUAUUUCAUCAAAUCCAAUAAGAGAAAUUUAUAAAAAUAUACUAUCCAAAGCUAUAUAAAAAUAGCAGAAAAAACAAAUGGGGUGAAAAAGAAAAGGAAAAAAACCUAGAAAGAAAACCAAACGCUUACUAAAAGAAGGAAAAGAUUAAAGCAAGUAAACUUUAAAAGAAAAAUGAAGAGCAUGAGACAACUUACAACUAUGAACAAAUCAGGGAAAAAGAAGAACAAAGAAAAAACCCAAAACCCCAAAUUGAUAAAAGAAAAGAACCAAAUUCAAAUUGCUUCAAUCCUUAAACAACUUGAGAAUGUGAAACACUGGGAAAAUGGAGUUUUAGAGUCAAAAGAUGGAAAUUUAUGUAAAGCACAAAAGCUAUGAUUAAGAUUAUUUAUAAAGAAAACUAGAUUGUCACACAAAAAAUAAUAAAAAUUAUAUUAAAGAAAAUUAAAGAUUAAAAAAACAAAAGCAAGAAAAAAGAGAGAGAUUGAUUAAACGUUUUAUACGUGCGUGCGUGCGUGAGAUUCUUGUAGAUGAAAUGAGCCAACCAUAUGUUUUGAAGAAGAAAAAUGGUGUUUGGAAAGAGAGAAAAUGAGAGAAAAAAAAUGGCAGCAACCAUGUUUUUUGAAGAAAAAAGUGGUGUUUGGCAAGAGAGAAAAUGAGAGAAAAAUUUUUGUUAAAUAGAUGACAUCAUUUAUGACGUCGUGUGCUUAUGUGGCAUGCCAUAUGGGCUAUUAUGUUGACCUACAAUUUGAUUAAUGGUCAACUCACGUUGAUCAUUAAAAUUGGGCUGAUUUCUUAAAAGAUCGUAAUGUUGAGGGUGUCAAUCAAAAAGUAAAAAGGUCAAGGGCACAAAACCAAAAGCCCCCGCCAUUGAAAAAUAGAAAAGUGUUCAUGGAAAAAAUAUGAAAUAAAUGGAAUAUAGGGCUUGUUAGGGACUAAAUUAAUAUUCGGCUAGUAUGAGUUUGGACUAAAUUGCAUGAAUUUACAUUUUUAUGAGCUAGGGACUAAAUUGAAAUGAAUUCAAAAUUUUAAGGGCAAAAGUGUAAUUUUUCCAAAUUAUGAUUUUUGGAUUAAAUUGAAUAGAGUGAAAAUUGAAUGAGCUAAAUUUGAUUAUAUAGAUCAAGAAAAGCAACGUACGGAUUUAGAUCGGGGAAAAGAAAAAGUAUUGGAUUAAUCAAUCGUAUUUCUCCGUUCGUGUUUGAAGUAAGUUCAUUAAUUUAAAUAGCAUUAAAUCAUGUACAAUUUAAAUGAUUUUAUGUUAUAUAUAUUGAUAUUACGACUCUAUAGAAAUAUCCAACGAAAUUUUGGUGACUUUCGGAUCCUGUUUGAAUAUCAGGAAUAUAUAGUAUACAAAUGACAUGUCAUUAGGGGUUACUGUGUUUUGGGUGCUGGUCCUGUAUGUCCUAUCGGUGGCUGAGUUUUCGGCAUGUGUUGUGGUUACUUGACAGCUUGUGUGAGUAGCAUCGUAUAGCUACGUCUUGACUGACAGCUUGUGUGAGCAGACCCAUUUAUGGCUCGAGAGAAAGAGAGCAUGUAUAUGAGAUAUGAGAUAGUAGUGGUUUCGACCACAUGUUGGCAUAUAGUGUGUGAGAUUCUUGAGUAUUCGAUAUUAUUCUAGUGGUUCAACGGGUAUACAAAAGGGAAGGAGCAGUAUAUGAUUCAAUUCAUAAUGUCAUGUAAGCAUGAGAAAGGUAUGAGAUGAUAGUGACUAAAGAUUUCUUGUAUGUUCGUAAUAGUAUGAAUGUUUGAAUGGGAAGUAUAUGGAAGCCCUUUGUUGUGUAAUGAAUUUUACUAAGUUUUGUACUAAUCACUAAUGUGAAUUGUUGUUGGUGCUUAGGCUUGUGCCAAGCUAUGUUGGAUAUGUUCAUAAAUUGCCUUUAAUCUUUUAUAAUGAAAUGGUAAGCGUUGUUUAUGAUUUAUGAACUUACUAAGCAAUUUAUGCUUACUUUGUGUGUUUUCUCUCAUGUUAUAGAUAAUCAGAAGCUCGUUUGGGUUGAAAGCUUGUCGGAGAUCCAUCACACUAUCCAUCGGCUAAAUUGGCAGAGACACGGGUGUGUAUCUCAACCGUGUGUGACACACGGCCAGGUGACACGGGCUUGUGUCCCCUGUAACUUUAAAAGGGUUGCAAGUCAGGCUAUUACACGGCCUAGCACACGGCCUGGCACACGAGCGUGUGAAAUUAUUUCAAAAGAUUAGUUGUGUGCCAGUGUGAGUGGUGCGGUUCCCAAAGGGUGUUCCAAGCAAGUCUUUGUGUUACUUUGUAGGUGCUUAUUAUCUGUUUGUUUAUGUAUCGGGAAUAAGACAAUGUGUUAGACUAUAUGCUAGUUUUUGCUAUGACUUUUAAUUUGUUUACAUGAUUAUUUUGCCUUAGGACUUAUGGACUUUACAUUUGAAUUAUUGGUUUCUUGCUUAGUCAUGAUUAUGAAGUUUUGGAUUGUUAUUUCAGACA